GCGGGAGCGGGAGGAGGCGCGGCGGAGAAAGGAGAGGUGGGGCUGGAGCACCGGGAAUGGACUGGGAGCAGCGGGAGUGGGACUGGGAUGAACUGGGAGCACCAGGAAUGGACUGGGAGCACCGGGAGUGGGACUGGGAUGAACUGGGAGCCCUGGGACAGGGCUGGGAUGAACUGGGACAGAACUGAGAGCACCGGGAACGGACUGGGAUGAACUGGGAGCACCGGGAAUGGGACUGGGAUGAACUGGGACAGGACUGGGAGCAGGGGGAAUGGACUGGGACCACCAGGAGUGGGACUGGGAUGAACUGGGAGCCCUGGGACAGGGCUGGGAUGAACUGGGACGGGACUGGGAGCACCGGGAAUGGGACUGGGAUGAACUGGGACAGGACUGGGAGCACCGGGAAUGGGACUGGGAUGAACUGGGACGGGACUGGGAGCACCGGGAAUGGGACUGGGAUGAACUGGGACGGGACUGGGAGCACCGGGAAUGGGACUGGGAUGAACUGGGACAGGACCGGGAGCACCGGGCCCCUUAAGCCUGGCGAGGAUCGCCUGGCAGUACCGGGAGGACCGGGCUGGGUUUGGGGCUGGGCUCCCGGUGUCCCCGUCUGGGCUCCCAGUGUCCCCAUCCGGGUUCCCGCUGUCCCGUGGCCAGGCUCCCGGUGUCCCGUGGCCGGGUUCCCGGUGUCCCGUGGCCGGGUUCCCGGUGUCCCGGGCUGGGUUCCCGCUGUCCCUAUCUGGGCUCCCGCUGUCCCGGGCCGGGUUCCCGGUGUCCCGGGCCGGGCUCCCGGUGUCCCGGGCCGGGUUCCCGCUGUCCCAGGCCGGGUUCCCGCUGUCCCGGGCUGGGCUCCUGCUGUCCCGGGGUGGGUUCCCGCUGUCCCGGGCCGGGUUCCCGCUGUCCCCGUCUGGGCUCCCGGUGUCCCGGGCCGUGCCCGGUGUCCCGGCCGUCCCCGACGCCCGCCGUGCCGCAGGCAGGAGCUGGUGGCCCGCAGCCUGGCGGAGAUGCCGGCCCGCGUGGCCGCCUGGCGCCGGG
rnacentral:lncRNA from 1 species